rnacentral:sRNA from 1 species
GCCAGGCGUGGUGGCAUGUGCCUGUAAUCCCAGCUACUUAGGAGGCUGAGGCAGGAGAAUCGCUUGUGCCCAGGAGGCAGAGGCUGCAGUGAAUUGAGAGAUUUCCACUGCACUCCAGCCUGGGCAACAGAGCAAGACUCUGUCUCAU